GUUGAUUUAAGUAUUCGUAUUAAGUUUAUAAAUCUUAAUCCAUUUAUAACAUGGGUAUAGUGUUAAUUUGGCAGCCCUACAUAUUGAAUGCUUGUAAAGAUAGAAAUUUCAAAGUGAGAAGUAGUCGGCAGAUAGGGCUUCAAGGGACAAAAAGAUAAUUUCAUUAAUUAUGUAAGGGCAAUUUUAGAAUAAAAAUGAGUGAAACCAUGCUUACCCACCAAUUUGGUGGUUUCAAAAACUUAGCAAAUCUCAUAGUUUUUAAACCAUGGAAAAAACAUCCCAAACACAAACAUACCCUACAUUAAUAAACCAUGGCUUCCCAUGAUCCAAUCAGGGGGUUAAGAGUUCACACAGUUUUUUCCCAAUUGAUAAUCUUCCCUAAAAGUUCAUAAUCUGGCUUAACCUUAUAUGCGUGCAAAAAGCCUCAAUUCUUUAACGAAUCCCGAAACAUACUGGUUGCCUGACGGCUUAUAGUAUUCAUGGCACAACCUCUCCAAACAGAGAUCUGGGUGAUAAGUGAGAACCUUACUUAAAAGCUAUCUAAGGUUAAAGGCCCCACUAGAACAACAAAACUUUGGAAACUCAGACAACUGUCUACAUCACUAAUUCAACGAGUUGAAAGAAGCAAAUAAGAGUUCCAUUUUCAUUGAAAUAUUAGAUUACACUACAGUAAUGGGUUUCAAACUUUCAUAUUUUUUUUUAGUUUUUGGGAAAAAAAACCUUUUUUUUUUAAGGUACUUAAAGAGAAAAAUUUGUUACCCACCAACUUGGUGUUUGAAAAAUGAAGGUUUUUGGAGGUUUUUAAAAACUUUCAAAAAUCAUAUUUUAAAAAACCUUCUAUCCUCUCAAACAAAACUUUAAAGUUUUUAAACCUCUAAAAACCUUCAAUUACCUUAAAAAACCCCUUCCCAAAUAAAGGGUGAUCGUCAAGUUUUCUUAAAUCAAGAUAUUCAUUUCUUCUACAGUUGC
rnacentral:misc_RNA from 1 species